rnacentral:rRNA from 1 species
CGGCGGACGGGUGAGUAACGCGUGGGUAACCUGCCUUAUACAGGGGGAUAACAGUCAGAAAUGGCUGCUAAUACCGCAUAAGCGCACAGAGCUGCAUGGCUCAGUGUGAAAAACUCCGGUGGUAUAAGAUGGACCCGCGUUGGAUUAGCUGGUUGGUGGGGUAACGGCCCACCAAGGCGACGAUCCAUAGCCGGCCUGAGAGGGUGAACGGCCACAUUGGGACUGAGACACGGCCCAGACUCCUACGGGAGGCAGCAUG